rnacentral:lncRNA from 1 species
GGGCCACAGCAUGAGAGGCCUAAAGAGAGGUGGCAACUCCCUACAUUUGGAGAAUGACCCCAUGAGUGACUGAAAAACCUCCCAAAUUUUAGAUGACUAAAUGGAAGUUUAUCUUUAGCAACAGGGUCUCUAUAGGAGGACACCCACACUGUCAUCACAGAGCCCUGAAAGGCUGGAUGUUUGAGAGUUGGAGAGAGUGUGGAAGGACAAUUAGGCCAUUGCCACAGGGACACCUGGACCCAGGAGUGAGAAUGAGAUGAAAUCUAGAAUGCACAGAAGUAGAGUGAAAGUAUGACAAUGUGGCUUUCCUGAUGUUUCUGCCUCCAUGUGGACAGUGUGAGUGCAUCUGGUCAAGGCCUAGGCUGGGCAGAGGGUAUGGGGAUGGAUGAGGAGUUGAGGCCCAGAUUCCUUGGGGUGCAGGACUGUGGCCUUACCAUCUCCUAAGAUGUUCAGGGGGGUGGUUGAGGUGUCCUUUGUGCUCCAUGUCCCUCUCUGUUCUUCUCUAGGCCCUGUCUGUGGAGUUCUCUCUGUACCCUCACUCACCCUGAGGCUGAGCUGGUGCCUGUUGGCGGUGACAGACCCUGGCUCCUCUUCAGUGGAUACUCAGCUGAGUCUUUCACUCUACAGCUCCUCAGUGCAACCUGCAUAGAGUAUGUAAAGACAGUGCCUGGCAGUUGGCAGGAAGCCCAAGACCCUGCCUGGCUAUUGUUGAGGCUGAUUCUGCCCCUGGUGAACUCUGCUCCCCACACCUCAUACAGACCUUUGUCAUAUAGCCUUCUAUUAUGGGAGGACAGGAGAUGACAUUGGGGGCCCAGGAUUUACACUGUGCACACCCUUUCCCCACCUGGUAGCCCUGUCCCCCAUGAUAAGACACCAGGUCACAAUCUCCCAUCACCUACUCCUGCCUUAGGUUUCUGUUACCUACACUCAGAAGGAAGGGCAUGGGGCUGCACAGGAGACUCAGUGUGGACUGGCCUGGAUGCACCUGUCCUUGGCUGACUGGUAUCACACAUUUUCAACUCCUCAUAAAUACCCUGAUGUUCCUGCAGCACAGUCAGAUUCAACAUAGCACCCUUUGUAGGAAUCUGUCUCGGUCAUUCUAAGUCUGUGGUCUUUGAGAGUUAGAAUACAGCCAAAGUUCACCUCUCAUUUUAGGGCCCCCUGAAGCCAUGACCAUGGGAAGUCAGGAUACAGUAGAACAUGUUGCUUUCUUAACUAUUUUUUCUUAUGAAAACUCUGAUGUUUCUUGUAUAGCAAGUGAACCAGUGUAGCAUGCUUUUCCCUAUGUUCUGCCUGAGGGGUAUCCUGAAUCUGAGGCCUGGGGUAGCGGGGGAUGCAGCUACAGAGACUACUGGGUUGUGGGUGCCCUACAGCUUUGGCCUCUAGAACCUAAGAGGUAACUAACAUCCUUCUUUGACAAACAUGUCUCACCAAGUGACCUGGGGUGGUGGCUGUUGCUAGAAUGUGGGUGCCUGAGUACUGGGGUUCCCAGUUCUGCUUGCAUCUUUCACCAUUGAAGUUAAGUCAUGUCUUAGGGUCCAUAACCUGUUUCCCACUUCUAAUGAGACUACAUAUGUCCCUCCGGGCUACUGCCUAUUCUCCUCAUGCCUCAAUAUAUAUCUCUUUUGUGUACACAGAACCCCAAAAUGCCUCUGAUUCUCUGUGACAGACCUGAGUCUGCCAGUUUUCUACCCUGGGAGGACAGAUGUCACUGGGAGACCAGAAUGAAUCCCGGACACACACAUUCCCCACAUCCAGCCCUGUCCUGGGGAUGGCUAUAACAGGACACCAGGCUGACAAUGUCCCACCACCUGCUUCUGCCUAGGUCCUUAUUCCCCGCAAAUUCAAGAGGAAGGUGGUGCAGGGGUGCUCAUGGUGGUGAUCUGUCUUGGGUUUACUUGACCUGGGCUCUCUGUUGUUUGCCUUGGGCUUCUCCUUCCAUAUGGACAGAGGUACUGGAAUGGGAGCGCAGCCAAUAUCCCAUUCUUUCCAGCAUGUUGUGCCUACAGGGCAUCCUGAGGCUGGGCUUGGAGAAGGGGCUGUGUAGCCACAGAGGGAGCUCUGGCUAUGGGGCCUCCUAGAGCCUUGACCUCUAGGGAAUAGUAAUCAGCAGAACAUUUUUACUUGUGAAAUGUCUUUCAACAAAUGAGCUGGGAUGGAGGGUGUUGCUAGAAUGUGGGUGCCUGGUCAUGGGGUUCCGAGUUGUUUGGAUUUAUCACCAGGGAAGGGAAGUCAUGUCCUGGGUGUCCCAACCUGACACCUCCUCCAGAUAAGUCCACAUAUGUCUCUCUGAGUUACUGUCUGCUUUCCUCCCACACCAUGACAUUUCCCUAUGUGUACACAGCAACCCCAACACUGUUCCCCACAUCCCUGUGACAUGCCUCGAUGUGACUAGGGUCUCAGCUGUGAGGAUAUCCAGAUGGAUUUAGACCCAGCUCCUCCUCCUGACCUUUUAUGUGACCCUGGACAAGGCAUCAUAUCUUUAGACCUUCCCCAAUCUCCCCCUGCACAGUGGGGUUUAUCCUAGCAUCUGCUUCCUAGUGAUGUCUUCAGGCAUGUGUGAGAUAACACUAUGGGCUGCUGUCACAUGUAUGUAAUACACAAAAUGAGAGAUAAAAUUAAGGAUGGUGUAGGAUGUGGCAUAGGAUACAUCUAAAAGUAGGUCUGUUUUCCUGCCUUAUGACCUUCAGAAGGUUGCUUCCCUUUUUGUCCUUCUUUCCUUGGCUGCAUCGUGGGAGGGUUGAAAUCAAUUAAUUCAGCUAUCUUCAUGCUCUGUAGCCCUCCGAAUCUUCUGUUACAUUGAAAUUCAGAGAUAAGUGCCUAAACUGGGCCUUCUGCUUAGCAGCUCUCAGCUACCCUCACCCCUGGUGUGCACUUCCGUGAUUUGCUUAUAAAAUAUAGCUACAAGCUCUUUCCUCCUCAGUUUAUUCCUUUCUGGGUCUCCCUCACUCUGGCUCCCUUUGUUCCUGGUUUCUGAGCAAGUUGCUCUUAUCUCAUGUGGCACCCAAAGGAGAAGGUCAUGAGUUUUAGGACAGAGAGGGCAACAGAUGAGGAGAAAUGUGGCCUCUGUCCUACCUGAGUUCUGCCAGUAAUCUUGUGACUCAACUUGGAAGCUGAUCUUGCCAUAUCAGGACCUCAGCUGAGACCACAGCGCUGGCCUCCUGAGAGACAUGGCAGGAGCCUCCAGCUGCACCCUUCUGGAUUCCUGGUCCACAGAAACUGUGAGACCACAAAUGUUUGCUGUUGCAUCCUCUAAGUUUGGGGUAGCAUUUUCACAUAGUGGUGGGUCAAUAAUAUAGUUGAGGAGGCCUUAGAAUCUGUCCCUUCAUCCCUCUUCUUCCUGGCCCUCUCCAGUCCCACAGGUUGCCCUUGUAACUUCCUUUCUCCCUCCGUUAGUUUGGACUUUGAAUUCCUGAACAGUUGAUUCUCCUUCUGGCACACACAGCCCAGGGCUGUGCAGGGCUAGAUCCCACUCAAGUCUUUGCUUGAGUGACUUCAAGGCCUUAGCUUACCAGGUGCCAGGGCCAUAGAGGAGCAGGACAACUGAUCCAGGGGCAUUAGGAGGGACCUCAGAAGCUCCCCUUUCCCCUACUCACAAGGCUUCUCCACCAGAGCCACUGCCAGGGUCUGGUUCGACUUCCACAUCAGAUGCUGAGGCCCAACAAGGUGGUCUUUGACUUUUUCAAGGAUGAGUGGGUUAGUGCUCUGCCACAUCGUAUCCUUCCCCAGUUCUUUGUCUCCAAACCACCAAACAGUUGUCUGGCUCAGAAGGAUGUCCAGAGGCAGAAAGAAUUAUCCAAGGACCUGUGUCCUUGGAUAGAGGUUGGUGAGCCUUGGGACCUUGCAGUGACUAACUGCAACCUCCACAUUUUGUCAGGAAGGAAACUGUGGCUUCCAUCCUAAAUCACCUUCACUCUAGGCAGCUUUUCCUAUAGAAAGGUGCCCAUGCUGGUGGGCCCAGGACCCCAGACCAGGCAUACCCUGGUUUUCCUUAGGGAUGUCCAAGUCCUGAAAUCCUGGUAUCUCUCUUCCUUCCCUGCUAUGGGUUUGGGAUAUGGUGCCUGGAUAGGAGCUGCUCAUCUCCCAUGAAGGUGCUGCCUCCAGAGUCUUCCUCCUUUUCCCUUGUCACUUCCUAGGGUCCAGUUUCACUGCUACAUACCACUUGGUCCCCCACAGUAUAUUUGUGUGUGUGUGUGUGUGUGUGUGUGUCUGUUGUGUGAGUGUGCAGAUGUGUGUUCAUAUAGGUGUGCAUACCCAUUGAUAUGCUGAGUGGAAGGGGAUAUGUUAUCUGGGAUCUUAGGGAUUCUCUUUCUAAAGCAAACCUUGUAGGAAAUGAGCCCUGGUUUAGGAGGUCAGAACCCUCCCUUGUCUCACUUGGGGUUUUAUUUUUGCUUUGUUUUUAAAAAAUCUUAUUUAUUUGAGACCACUCUUUUGAGUUUAUACACUCUUUUGAGUUAUACACUUCAGUAUAUAAACAUGUUAAAUGGGUUGGGCUGUGGGGAUGGUGUGUAAGUAUGGGUUAAAUGAGCUAGUUUAUUUUUAGACAGUUUGAGGCAUAAUUAACAUACAAUGUACUGAACAUGUUUAAAGGAUAAAAAUAACAAAAAAUAAACAUCUUGGAAACCAUCACCUGAAUAAUGAAAAUGAACACAUGCUUGUAUCCACUUAGGUUCCUGUGGCCACUUGUAAUAACUUCCCGUCCUCCUAUCCUUUGCAACCACUCAUCUGGCCUGUGUCCCUGGUGGAUAAUUCUGUCCCUGUACCUAGUUAAUAUGUACUUUCUUGUAGGGCUUAUUCAUUCAGUGUAAUUAUUUUUAGUUUCAUAUGUCACUUGUCACUUAUACAAGUGACAGUUGGUUCUCCAUUCAUCUGCGGGUGGACAUUUGUAUUUCUCCAGUUUUUGUCCCUUAAAAACUAAAUUGCUGUGAUCAUUUUUGUACAAGUCUUCAUAUGCAUAUAUGCUUUCAUUGCCCUGGGGAAAACCAUCUGGGUGUGAGAAUGCUGGGUCAAAUGGUCGGUGUGUGUGUUAACUCAGAAAUUGUUAAAAGGUUUUCCAAAGUGGUUGUUGGAAGUAGAGUUUCAGGAUUCCAGAUUUUUCCCCUGAGAGAUUUCUUAAUCCGUGUUAUAUAUUUUCAGCUUUUUCUGAUACAGAUGUGUGCAGCAAGCCCAAGAAAAGGCUAUUUCUGUUAUAUAAAACUCAACAUCUUUGGCCUUGGAGAUGAUUUUAAAGAAAAAAUAAAAAUACCUCUAAUCACACCA